rnacentral:tRNA from 2 species
GCCGACGUAGCCCAAUUGGCUGAGGCGCCGUCUUCAGGAGGCGGUCCGCGUAAGCGGGUGCGGGUUCGAGUCCCGCCGUCGGCA